GUGCUUGCUUUGACAGCACAUAUGCUAAAAUUGAAAUGAUACAGAGAAGAUUAACAUAGCCCCUGAGCAAGGAAGACAUGCAAAGUCAUGAAGUGUUCCAUUAAAAA